rnacentral:rRNA from 1 species
AUACGUAGGGGGCGAGCGCUGUCCGGAAUGAUUGGGCGUAAAGGGCGCGUAGGCGGCGCGGUAAGUCUGGAGUGAAAGUCCUGCUUUCAAGGUGGGAAUUGCUUUGGAUACUGCCGCACUUGAGUGCAGGAGAGGUUAUCGGAAUUCCCGGUGUAGCGGUGAAAUGCGUAGAGAUCGGGAGGAACACCAGUGGCGAAGGCGGGUAACUGGACUGCAACUGACGCUGAGGCGCGAAAGUGUGGGGAGCAAACAGGAUUAGAUACCCUGGUAGUCCACACUGUAAACGAUGAAUGCUAGGUGUAAGAGGUAUCGACCCCUUUUGUGCCGGAGUCAACACAAUAAGCAUUCCGCCUGGGGAGUACGGCCGCAAGGUUGAAACUCAAAUGAAUUGACGGGG